AUUGAACGCUGGCGGUAGGCCUAACACAUGCAAGUCGAACGAGUGGCGGACGGGUGAGGAAUAUAUCGGAAUCUACUCUAUCGUGGGGGAUAACGUAGGGAAACUUUCGCUAAUACCGCAUACGAUUGAAUGCGCCGAUGUCGGAUUAGCUAGUUGGCGGGGUAAAGGCCCACCAAGGCGACGAUCCGGAGCUGGUCUGAGAGGAUGACCAGCCACACUGGAACUGAGACACGGUCCAGACUCCUACGGGAGGCAGCAGUGGGGAAUAUUGGACAAUGGGCGCAAGCCUGAUGCAGCCAUGCCGCGUGGGUGAAGAAGGCCUUCGGGUUGUAAAGCCCUUUUGUUGGGAAAGCGGUACCCAAAGAAUAAGCACCGGCUAACUUCGUGCCAGCAGCCGCGGUAAUUC
rnacentral:rRNA from 1 species